GACGAACGCUGGCGGCGUGCUUAACACAUGCAAGUCGAACGGAAAGGCCCUGCUUUUGUGGGGUGCUCGAGUGGCGAACGGGUGAGUAACACGUGAGUAACCUGCCCUUGACUUUGGGAUAACUUCAGGAAACUGGGGCUAAUACCGGAUAGGAGCUCCUGCUGCAUGGUGGGGGUUGGAAAGUUUCGGCGGUUGGGGAUGGACUCGCGGCUUAUCAGCUUGUUGGUGGGGUAGUGGCUUACCAAGGCUUUGACGGGUAGCCGGCCUGAGAGGGUGACCUGCCACAUUGGGACUGAGAUACGGCCCAGACUCCUACGGGAGGCAGCAGUGGGGAAUAUUGCAUAAUGGGCGGAAGCCUGAUGCAGCAACGCCGCGUGCGGGAUGACGGCCUUCUGGUUGUAAACCGCUUUCGCCUGUGACGAAGCGUUAGUGACGGUAAUGGGUAAAGAAGCACCGGCUAACUACGUG
rnacentral:rRNA from 1 species